rnacentral:rRNA from 1 species
AAUACUUAGGAAUCUACCUAGUAGUGGGGGAUAGCACGGGGAAACUCGUAUUAAUACCGCAUACGACCUACGGGAGAAAGGGGGCAGUUUACUGCUCUCGCUAUUAGAUGAGCCUAAGUCGGAUUAGCUAGAUGGUGGGGUAAAGGCCUACCAUGGCGACGAUCUGUAGCUGGUCUGAGAGGAUGAUCAGCCACACCGGGACUGAGACACGGCCCGGACUCCUACGGGAGGCAGCAGUGGGGAAUAUUGGACAAUGGGGGAAACCCUGAUCCAGCCAUGCCGCGUGUGUGAAGAAGGCCUUUUGGUUGUAAAGCACUUUAAGCAGUGAAGAAGACUCCGUGGUUAAUACCCACGGACGAUGACAUUAGCUGCAGAAUAAGCACCGGCUAACUCUGUGCCAGCAGCCGCGGUAAUACAGAGGGUGCAAGCGUUAAUCGGAAUUACUGGGCGUAAAGGGAGCGUAGGUGGCUCUAUAAGUCAGAUGUGAAAUCCCCGGGCUUAACCUGGGAACUGCAUCUGAAACUGUAGAGCUAGAGUAUGUGAGAGGGAGGUAGAAUUUCAGGUGUAGCGGUGAAAUGCGUAGAGAUCUGAAGGAAUACCGAUGGCGAAGGCAGCCUCCUGGCAUAAUACUGACACUGAGGCUCGAAAGCGUGGGUAGCAAACAGGAUUAGAUACCCUGGUAGUCCACGCCGUAAACGAUGUCUACUAGUCGUUGGGUCCCUUGAGGACUUAGUGACGCAGCUAACGCAAUAAGUAGACCGCCUGGGGAGUACGGCCGCAAGGUUAAAACUCAAAUGAAU